rnacentral:lncRNA from 1 species
GCAGACGGUCUCAUGCUGGCUCAGAGGGCAGCAGGAGUGUCUAAGCCAGGUGGCUGGAACAUCUGGAGGAAGCGUGCUGUGGCCAGAGGAGACUGGGGAAGGAGCCUGGGAGGAGGGCUGAGGCGGGGCAGCCAGGGGCCCUGGACCUGAAGCCUUUGGGUGUGGCCUGUGACCUGUGCCUGACCCUGACUCUCGCCUCCCCUGGAAGCUGUGUCUUUGCCUCUGAAUCCAGGCCUGCCACCCCCAUUUCCAGCUUCUUGAAGCAGUUCCUCGCUGUCUGGAGGGCAUCGUGGUGCCCGGCAGCAGCCUCAGUCCUGCCGUCCACACACCGCCUGUGCCUCCAGGCAUCUUCAGUGCCCCGUCCAGGACUCUUGUCAGAGCGUCCCUCCUGCCGGCAGCCACUCCCAGUUCUUCACACAGCGAAUGGAGCCCUCACGCUGCGCCGGUGCCACAUCUCCCACCAGCGAUGGAGCUUUGGUGCCACCUCUUCAUCUACUUUCCUGGGCCAUUCCUGGUGCCAACUGUUUCAGAGAUGGGGUCUUGCCAUGUUGCCCAGGCUGGUCUUGAACUCCUGAACUCAAGGAAUCCCCCUACCUCAGCCACCCAAAGCUGGAAUUACAGUUCUGGAGGCUGGAAAUCCAAGACCGAGAUGUCAGCCAGGAUGGUUUCUAUUGAGGCCCUAUCUCCAAACAACCCGCAUUUCCUCAAAAAUGCGGACUUCAACAUGUCUUUUGGGGGAACAAAGACUUUUGGGGAACAAAGUCUUUGGAGGAACACAGGUCAGACCAUGAUGCCUUGCCCAGCUCACUCCAAACAUGCUGAGCCUCAGUGUCUUCGUCGAUGAAAUGGGGUGGAUCAGAGGGGGCCAUGGACCUCCUGGUACCUCUUCACCCCUUUGCUCACCAGUUUGGUUAUUCCCUCCAGGCUAAACCAUCUGCUAAGGCCACACUGGACCUUGAAAAGAUACUAAUUGUGAGGGUGAUGGCAACUGCGACACCAGCAAUGGCUGUCUCCUCACUCUGUUCCCCACUGAUCCCAGCAUUCCUCAAGGGGCCUCAGCCAUCCAGAUGGUGCCAGGCACAAAUCAACCUACAGGUGCAGACCUGCUCAGAUUAGAUGGAUUGACAGGCCCAGCCCAAUAGGAAGCACCUGAUCCACACUCUUUCUAGCCCCAGGGAUGCUCAGGAAAGCAGCCUUUCUUUAGGGCUGUCAUCUGUUCUGGGGAUCUGUUGCUGUUUCUUGGGCCCACAGAAUACACUCCACACCUCGGGACUCCAUAAUAUUGGACAAGGCUGGAAGGCCCAUUUGGCUCCUGCAGCCUCUUAUGCAGGAGGACCUCCUGAGGCUUCGGGCAGGAGCUGGUGCACACCUGGAGGAGAGUGCUGGUGAAUGGCAGGUGUGUGCCUCAGUGUCCUUGCUGCCAGGGUGUCAGCCCUGCUUCACCACUGGCCGUUUGUCUCUGUCCCCUCCACUGGCCUCUUGAAGCACAGAGACCCUCCGGGUACUUUCCUUCCUCUGGGCUUCCACUCAUGCUAUUCCCUGCUCCCUUUUUCUACCUGGAGACCCCCAUUCCUCCUCCUCCUCUGCUGCCCUCACCUCCACCUGGGCCCUCCCAG